GAGGGUAUAGCUCAAGUGGUAGAGCACAUGCUUAGCAUGCACGACGUGGUGGGUUCAAUCCCCAGUACCCCUU
rnacentral:tRNA from 1 species